CCUACGUGAGGCAGCAGUGAGGAAUAUUGGUCAAUGGGCGCGAGCCUGAACCAGCCAAGUCGCGUGAGGGAAGACGGUCCUAUGGAUUGUAAACCUCUUUUGUCGGGGAGCAACAGACGCCACGCGUGGCGUUCCGAGCGUACCCGAAGAAAAAGCAUCGGCUAACUCCGUGCCAGCAGCCGCGGUAAUACGGAGGAUGCGAGCGUUAUCCGGAUUUAUUGGGUUGAAAGGGUGCGCAGGCGGAAGAUCAAGUCAGUGGUAAAAUUGAGAGGCUCAACCUCUUCGAGCCGUUGAAACUGGUUUUCUUGAGUGAGUGAGAAGUAUGCGGAAUGCGUGGUGUAGCGGUGAAAUGCAUAGAGAGCACGCAGAACUCCGAUUGCGAAGGCAGCAUACCGGCGCUCAACUGACGCUCAUGCACGAAAGUGUGGGUAUCGAACAGGAUUAGAUACCCGUGUAGUC
rnacentral:rRNA from 1 species